CAGGGAAUCUUCCACAAUGGGCGAAAGCCUGAUGGAGCAACGCCGCGUGUGUGAUGAAGGGUUUCGGCUCGUAAAACACUGUUGUAAGAGAAGAAUGACAUUGAGAGUAACUGUUCAAUGUGUGACGGUAUCUUACCAGAAAGGAACGGCUAAAUACGUGCCAG
rnacentral:rRNA from 1 species